GACGAACGCUGGCGGCAUGCCUAACACAUGCAAGUCGAACGAGCCCUUCGGGUCUUUUCUCCCCCGGCUUCGUCACCCGUCGGAACCUUCCCUUAUGUUUGGCAUACCUCUCCGACAGGGGUGCUUAUACCGGAUCAUGUCUUCUGCCCAAAGAUUUAUCGCCUUUGGUUGUUCCCGCGUUGGAUUAGCUAGUUCUUAGGCUAAAAGCUUACCAAGGCGACCAUCCAUAGCUUGUCUGAGAGGAUGAUCAGCAACACUGGGACGGAGACACGGCCCAGAAUCCUACGGGAGGCGGCAGUGGGGGACAGUGGACAAUGGGCGAAAGCAUGAUCCAGCAAUGCCGCGUGAGUGAUGAAGGCAGUAGGGAUGUAAAGCGCUAGUACCCGGGAAGAUAAUGACAGUACCGGGAGAAUAAGCUACGGCUAACUCCGUG
rnacentral:rRNA from 1 species